rnacentral:misc_RNA from 1 species
GAUGAAGAACGUAGCGAAAUGCGAUAAGUAAUGUGAAUUGCAGAAUUCAGUGAAUCAUCGAAUCUUUGAACGCACCUUGCACCCUUUGGCAUUCUGAAGGGUAUGCUCGUUUGAGUGUCAUUGUACUCUCACACUCCCGAUCUUUGCAUUGGGAGCAGUGGACUUGGGUUUGCUGCUUCACCGUCGCUUACCUCAAAUAGGUUAGUGCAACUCUUGGUUGGACAUAGUACGGCGUGAUAAGUGUUCUUCGCCGGUGCAUCGCAAAGAGGGUGGCCGAUCGGGAUGUUGUGCUCCAAACCGUCUUCGGACAAUCUCUGACGACUUGACCUCAAAUCGAGUAAGACUACCCGCUGAACUUAAGCAUAUCAAUAAGCGGAGGA